GCGUAAGCGCGCGCAGGUGGUUUCUUAAGUCUGAUGUGAAAGCCCACGCCUCAACCGUGGAGGGUCAUUGGAAACUGGGAGACUUGAGUGCAUAAGAGGAAAGUGGAAUUCCAUGUGUAGCGGUGAAAUGCGUAGAGAUAUGGAGGAACACCAGUGGCGAAGGCCACUUUCUGGUCUGUAACUGACACUGACGCGCGAAAGCGUGGGGAGCAAACA
rnacentral:rRNA from 1 species